ensembl:snoRNA SNORD115 Small nucleolar RNA SNORD115
GGAUCAAUAAUGAGAACUUAUGUUGUCUUGAAAAGAGAUGAUGACCUAAAAAUCAUGUUCAAUAAGAUUAUGCUGAGACCC